rnacentral:lncRNA from 1 species
CGGCGGCGACCGUUGGGCGUCAGCGGACUUGGCAGCGGGGACGUUGGCGGCAGCGGCCCCUCAGAGCCUGGACCCUGGUGAGGGCGCCGACCCCGGUCGUGUGUGGCAGGUGCGACAGUCGCGGGCGCUGAGCAGGGACCAGACUCCGCUCGCGCUCCUCGUCCUGAACGCGCUGACUGACUGGAAGGUGUCGCCGCCCCGCGUGCCCCCUGAGGAGGAUGUGCAGAUGGACACGCGGAUAUUCACACGGAGAAGAAGGACAUGUGACAACAGAGAAAGAGAUUGGUGCACAAUCUGAAGAAUGCCAAGGAUUUCCAGGAGCCACCAGAAGCUAGAAAGUGGCAAAGAAAGAUCUUCCCUAGAGUCUUCAUGGGAGCAUGGUCCUGCCAACGUCUUUAUUUCAGAAUUCUAACUCCACAACUUAAACAGAACACAUUUCCCUUGCUUUUAGCCACCCAGUUUGUGGUACAUUGUUACAGCAGCCCUAAGAACAAAUAUAUCAGAGCAGCACACAUCCAAUGACAGUGCUUAAGGUUUAAAAGUCAGGUCAUAUGAAAGUGCAGCAGAAGAACUAACCCCAACAUGAUAACCUGCAAGUUUGGUGAAUCAUAUUUGUGGAUGUAUAAAUACCUAAUUCAUGACUUUUGUGUAGUUCUCUGUCUUAAUUUGAAACUCUGUCUGGAUCCCAAUAUUAUGAGGUGCAAGUAGGAGUGACCACUCUUUUCAUCACUGUUAGUGGUCCACUUGGGGAAUUUGUGUCUUCAUUCCCUACAAUGCUGGUCUCUGUGGAUUUGCAAGUUGUGGCACCUAGAUGGAGAAUAGUUAUUCAGAGACCCAGCAAGAGUCUCAAUAAAUUCCACGUUCAGCUCUACUGGGUCACUAGACGCUCCUCAUAACAAGAGACCUAAAGCUGUGGAGAAGAGUCCCAAACUGGCAAAAGCAGUGGACUUUGAUGAUCAGCAUGUGGUAGGGCUGCUUUCAUCCAAGAGACAAAGUAAAUUUUGAGCUUCACUUAAAGGGGUUUUAU